CGAUCGGUAGCUGGUCUGAGAGGACGAUCAGCCACACUGGGAUUGAGAACGGCCCAGACUCCUACGGGGGGCAGCAGUGAGGAAUUUUCCGCAAUGGGGGAAACCCUGACGGAGCAACGCCGCGUGCAGGAGGACGCUUUUCGGAGUGUAAACUGCUUUUCUGUGGGAAGAGCAAGGACGGUACCACAGGAAGAAGCCCCGGCUAACUACGUGCCAGCAGCCGCGGUAAUACGUAGGGGGCGAGCGUUGUCCGGAGUUACUGGGCGUAAAGGGCAUGCAGGCGGUCGUACGCGUUUCGGGUGACAGCGGGUGGCUUAACUACCCGAGUGUUCGAAAGACGGUACGACUUGAGGGCUCGAGAGGGACACGGAAUUCCGGGUGGAGUGGUGAAAUGCGUAGAGAUCCGGAGGAACACCGAAGGCGAAGGCAGUGUCCUGGCGAGUGACUGACGCUGAGGUGCGAAAGCUAGGGGAGCGAACGGGAUUAGAUACCCCGGUAGUCCUAGCCGUAAACGAUGACCACCAGGUGUGGGAGGUAUCGACCCCUUCCGUGCCGGAGUUAACACACUAAGUGGUCCGCCUGGGGAGUACGGUCGCAAGAUUAAAACUCAAAGGAAUUGACGG
rnacentral:rRNA from 1 species